rfam:Oryza barthii chromosome 8, whole genome shotgun sequence.
AAGAAGACAAACUAUGAAUUUUCGUACCAACGUUUGACUGUCCGUCUUAUAUGAUUUUUUUAUAAUUAUUAUUUUCGUUGUUGUUAGAUGAUAAAACAUGAUUAAUACUUUAUACGUGGCUUAUUUUUUUAAUUAUUUUCAUAAUUUUUUUUAAAUAAGACGGACGGUUAAACGUUAGACACGGAAAUCAGAGUUUGUCUUUUU